GUAAGGAGCAAAGAAAAAUUUCUCAGAAAAGGAGAUUUGAAGCACAAUUGUCAUCAGUUCACAGAAGAAUUUUGAAGUUCUGUUUCCAGAGGCCUCUCUCUGCCUGCCCAGAGACUGUACAUCUUCAGAGAUGAGCAAAACUCUGCACUCUGCAAAAUCAGCACCCUCUGUCUAAUCAAAAGUUAACUUGGCCCAGGUUUUAGUUUCUCUGUAAGUUUUGUUGGAAAGUAAUAUAAUAAAUCUUAUUACAAGAUACAGCUGAUUAUGUAUACAUUAUGUCUUUGGAGAAAUUUGCAUUUUAAGAGGAAGGUCAAGGAUGCCUUAAUUACAAACAUUGCAUUUUUGGUUAUUUAAAUAGUAUCUGGGAAAACGGUGAAGAUAUAUAGGAAGUUAAGAAAGAUACCUGUAUCUACCACGUGUGAAAGAUUAUCUCAGUAAAUAGAAUUGGCUACAUAUUCAUCUAUUAUAAUAAUACCAAAAAAGAAGAUAUAUAUCUUCAAAGCGUCACAAUUUUUGUAGUCAGCAAAAUGAAUGGCAAAGAUAAUGAGAGAAUAAAGAUACAAAAAUGAGUAUUUAAAAAUAGAAUUCCAAUGGGAAAACUGUUAAUUUUAAAAAUUAUAU
rnacentral:lncRNA from 1 species